rnacentral:rRNA from 1 species
GACGAACCGUGCGAACGUUGUUCGGAAUCACUGGGCUUAAAGGGUGCGUAGGCGGGCUCGUCAGUCGGGGGGUGAAAUCCCACGGCCCAACCGUGGAAGUGCCUCCGAUACUGCGGACCUAGAGGGGGGAUAGGGGCGUGCGGAACUUCCGGUGGAGCGGUGAAAUGCGUAGAUAUCGGAAGGAACACCGGUGGCGAAAGCGGCGCGCUGGAUCCCUACUGACGCUGAGGCACGAAAGCCAGGGGAGCAAACGGG